GAGCGCUGGGCGGGGUCCCCUCUUAAGGAGAUGCGAAAGGGCGCCGGCCUGAGCCCCGCCUGCGUGCACGCCUUCUCCCCUGCGAGGCCCGUAGCACCAGUUUCUGGUGCAUCCCUUACCACAGACAUCACACCACAAGACCGAGGGGGGCAUCCUGAGUCACCGAAGGAGCUCCUCACAUCCUUUAUCGAAGCAUCUUUGUGGAGCAAUGAGUAAAAGGGUAUCCAAGCCCAGCUUGAAAGUUAGAAAAUAAAAUCAAGAGGGGUCCCAUCCUGUAGGUGCUUUGUGGAUAAGGGGAAGUGAGGGACAGUUUUGAAUCAUAGUUAUUGCUCUGCAAAUGCUGAACUACAGCAGUUGGAAAAUAUGUUCACACAUCAGUACCAGCACAACAGAAAUCCCCAGAGGUCCACGUUGCUGAGGAGCCCAGGCACUAGAUCCCCAGGCGAGCCAGGCAGCUGUGACCCAGGGCCAGGAUGGCCUCAGCCUCAGGUAUGUGUGAGUCUUCUUUCCUCGAUAAAUUGUUUCACUUUUGAAGGAGACAGCAAAGGAACGAAUCAGAGUAGACAAGAUGCCUUUUCAAUUAGUAUUCUCUGUCUGGUUGAUAGGGAUAUAACAAAGGAGGACAGGUCUAGCAUGGUCCGCCUGAGACCAAGCGGGACUGAGAAGCUUAUCAUUUUUAAACCUGAUAGACUGGUGACAUCUCUGGCUGUCUGUUUGUAUAAGUUGGUGUUCUUGUUGCAUAUGUUUCCGAAUGAAGAAGGAAGGAAAUUUUGUGCCGGCAGCCUUGAGAAACUAUCAAAAGGAAUGGAGGGAAUGGCGUGGUGCCUGCAUUCCCUGUUUCCUCACAGAGUGGUUUUGAGCCCCUUGGGGAAAGAAGUUAGGGUCAAAACCUGAGGAAGCGUCUUCACAUCCGCCUUGGGGGAUUUGGGGUCCAUGAAGUACUACUUGGAGCCCUGAUGACAUACUACAGCACAGAACUGGAGGAAGGGCCAUCCUCUCACCCAGUCAGCCACAACCCUCUGUGCAGCCCUGCCACCCAUAAGGAACUGCUCUGCCCAGGGAUGGCAUAUUCUUAUAUAGGACACUAGUGGCCAGUGAAAGGUCAAGAUAACUUGACUGGGAGCCCAGAGCAGUAGCGCAUGGGUGGAACUGCUCCUGAGCCCCUGGGAGACCAGCUGAGGAUUUCCUGCCAUAAAUGAGGGAGGCAGGGGUUGGGAGAGAUGAUUGUUAAAACUUGUGUAGGCAGUGAUAUUAAGGUGAAUUCAUUUGUAUCCCCAAACCAGCAUGACCUGGGACAUUCAAAUGAUAUUAGUUUUAAAAUGGUAUUAAAAAGAAGAGAGCUAGAGAGAAAGAGAAUAUUUAAUGCCUUUGAUAAAACUGC
rnacentral:lncRNA from 1 species